CUGGUGUGUUGGUACCUAGUUUUGGGAAUUUGCUGGCUUCUGAGUUUCUUUCUCUUUUCCAGUGCCCAUCUGGCGUCUGACUGCUGCGAUGGCUUGGACUCUGAGGGUGGCUCCUUGGGCUUGCUGUGGAAGAAGCCCUGGCUCGGCCUCUGCUCUCGCCCUGCAGAGCCCUGCUGGGUACAGCCAGUGAGCGCCCUCCUUCCUCCUGCCAGACAGUGCUGGAUCCGCCAGGGCUGGGAGAGUCUGGCCAUGGCUGAGGGGACCUUUCUCAGCUCUGCUGCAUUGCUGCCUGGAGAUGGGCUGAUGCAGGAAGGUGCCCAGGAUGUGGAUAAAGUCAGACUCCAGGAUUUGCUGGUGCCAGCCCUGAGGAGCCACUAAGAAGAGG
rnacentral:lncRNA from 1 species